rnacentral:rRNA from 1 species
AGUCAAGUUAGAAAGGGCACGCGGUGGAUGCCUCGGCACCAGGGGCCGAAGAAGGGCGUGGCAAGCUGCGAAAAGCCCCGGGAAGCCGCAAGCAGGCUGUGAUCCGGGGAUUCCCGAAUGGGGAAACCUGACGGGGAAAAUCCCCGUCACCAUCGGGUGAAUCCAUAGCCCGAUGGGGGGCAGCCCGCGAACUGAAACAUCUUAGUAGCGGGACGAAAAGAAAGCAACCGCGAUGCCCCGAGUAGUGGCGAGCGAAAGGGGCAAAGCCCAAACCGUCACCGUGCCAAAGCCCGCAGGCGUUGCGGUGACGGGGUAGCGGGACAGCACCAGAGGGGGCUGCGGACCCCUCAGGGAGUUACAAAACCCCGACUUAGCCGAAGUGGCCUGGAACGGCCCGCCAUAGAGGGUGAGAGCCCCGUAGGCGAAAGGUCAGGGGUCUCCCGGGGUGCUGCUCCCAAGUAGCUUGGGCCUCGUGAAAGCCUGAGCGAAUCUGGGGGGACCACCCUCUAAGGCUAAAUACCCCUGGUGACCGAUAGCGCACCAGUACCGUGAGGGAACGGUGAAAAGAACGGUGGGAAGCCGAGUGAAAGAGAACCUGAAACCGCGUGCCUACAAGCAGUCGGAGGGCUAUGCCCCACUAACUAAUAAGGUGGGGCACUGCCUGACGGCGUGCCUCUUGAAGAAUGAGCCGGGGAGUUGCCGUCGGUGGCGAGGCUAAGCGCCAUCAGGCGCGGAGCCGUAGGGAAACCGAGUCUGAAUAGGGCGUUCAGUCGCCGGUGGCAGACCCGAAACCGAGCGAGCUACCCCUGCCCAGGGUGAAGUGUCCUUAACCGGACACGGAGGCUCGAACCCAUCGGUGUUGCAAAACCGUGGGAUGAGGUGGGGGUAGCGGUGAAACGCCAACCGAGCUCGGAGAUAGCUGGUUCUCCCCGAAACACGUGUAGGCGUGACGUCGGGCUAUUAAGCGGCGGAGGUAGAGCCACGGAUGGGGGUAGGGGGUGAACAGCCUACCAAACCCCGUCCAACUCCGAAUGCCGCCGCUGGUCCCUUUGGGGGCUAAGGCCCGGCAGUCGGACUCUGGGGGAUAAGCUCCAGAGUCGCGAGGGAAACAGCCCAGACCGCCAGCUAAGGUCCCCAAGUCCCGGCUUAGUGGGGAACGAGGUGGGGCUCCUAAGACAGCCGGGAGGUUGGCUUAGAAGCAGCCAUCCUUUAAACAGUGCGUAACAGCUGACCGGCCGAGGAGCCCUGCGCGGAAGAUUCAACGGGGCUAAGCCGGGCACCGAAGCUGCGGGCUUGGCGGAGUCGCUGAAUGUCAGCACUCCGUCAGGCGGUAGGGGAGCGUUCCGCCUGCUGUGAAGCCCGACCGAAAGGACGGGUGGAGCGGGUGGAAGUGAGAAUCCCGGCACGAGUAGCGAUAAGGCCGGUGAGAAUCCGGCCCGCCGGAAGCCCAAGGUUUCCGACGCAACGCUCGUCGGCGUCGGGUGAGGCGGUCCUAAGCCGAGGCCGUUCGGCGUAGGCGAUGGGCAGCCGGUUGAUAUUCCGGCCCCACCGACCUCCGCCAUCAGGGAUGGGGGACGCUCCCAAGGGAGCCUACGCGGCGAUGGUCGCCCGCGGCGACCGUGGAGUCAGUCGUUCUCUAUGAAUGGCUGGCUUGGCGGGAGUGAGCCGCCUUUGUGCGGCGAAGUGGCGCCCUAAGGGAGCCAAGAAAAGCCCUUACCGAGCCCAUCCCGUAAGGGAUGGCGCGGAGCGUCGGUGACCGUACCGGAAACCGCCACAGGUGGGCGAGGAGAGUAUCCACAGGCGCGCGGGAUAACCCCCGCCAAGGAACUCUGCAAAAUGUCCCCGUAACUUCGGGAGAAGGGGAGCCGUAGUAGGGUGAAAGGACCUUCGCGUCCGAGUAGCCCGAGGCGGUCGCAGAUAAGCGGCCGGGGCGACUGUUUAACAAAAACACAGGUUCCUGCCAACCCGAAAGGGGAGGUAUAGGGGCCGACGCCUGGCCAGUGCCCGAAGGUUAAGGGGACGGGUUCGCCGGGUUUCUACCUGGCAAAGCUCGCGCCCCGAAGCCCGGGUAAACGCCGGCCGUAACCCUGACGGUCCUAAGGUAGCCGAUGCUGCCCUCCAUCCCGGCAACGGGAUGGGUGCAGUCGGCUGUAUGCGGGAAAGCCCUUAGAGCCCAGCCUACGAGGUGCUUUUAAAGUGCCCGUGAAAAUGGCUUGGGAUUGGGCAACCCGCAGGAAACCUGCCUAAAGGCAGGGAUCCUCAGAGGCUAUACGCCGACCUCCAGCCUGAAGGUGGUCGCAAUGGAACUGUCUCCCGAUUGGGUCGUCGGUUUUACCGAUGGAGAGGGUUGCUUCUUCGUAGGGAUUAACCGAAACCCUUCAACUUCCGUCGGAUACCGAGUCCUCCCUGAGUUCGUCAUCGUCCAACACAAGCGGGACAUUCAAGUCCUUUAUGCCCUAAAGCGCUUCUUCCGAUGCGGAGUGGUUCGUCCUAACCACGAUGACCGUUAUGCCUACCGAGUUCGGGACUUGCAAGGGCUGCGAAAGGUCUGUGCUUUCUUCCUCAAGCACCCCCUCAAGACGAAGAAGCGGAUAGACUUCCUCCGAUUCAACCGCAUCCUGACAAUGAUGGAGAGGGGCGACCACCUGAAACUUGACGGGUUGUUGGAAAUAGUCCAAAUUGCCCUUCGGAUGAACACAGGCAACCGACCUCAGUUAGAACAGGUUGCUGCCGAGAUUAAACAACGCCUUCAGGCUGGAUGAAGAGAUAGUCCACCCCCAGCCGAAAGGUUGGGAGAAGGUGAGCGAAAUUCCUUGUCGGGUAAGUGAGAACUUGCCCCUUCGUCCCGCGAGGGACGAUGAAACGCCGGCUCAUAUCGGGGAAGCCCUCCUGCUACUGUGCGGGUAGCGUGGGGUAACCCCGAGGGAAGUCAGCCCAACCUUUAGGUUGGGCUUGACCCCGUAACGACUGACCCGAAAGGGGAGGCGCGGUCGCCCACCCCGCGCAAAACGCCGGCCCUCACCCCUUGCCCUUAACUUGGGCAAGAAGGAAGCACCUAUGGAGCCUCUUUCCGAACGAGGUGGGUUGAAAUGCCUCCGCUAGACCCGUGGUAUGUAACAGGCUUGGUGGACGGUGAGGGUUGCUUCACGGUAAGUUUUAGUCUCCGACCUUCACUGUCCACGGGCAUUGAAGUCCGCCCCGCCUUCGCCGUAGCGUUGAACAAGCGGUCGUUGGAGGUCUUGAAGAAACUGCACAAAUUCUUCGGCUGCGGUGCCAUCCGAUAUUCUCACAGCGACCGCACCUACAAGUGGGAAGUGCGUUCUGUCCCAGAUAUCGUUCGGCGAGUGCUCCCCCACUUUGAACGCUAUCCUCUUCAGACGGCGAAGCGGGAGGACUUUGAGCGAUUUGCUCAAAUUUGCCGUUGGGUUUAUACGAACCAUCACCGAAAUCGCGAAUACCUGAAGCGCAUCAUAGAGUUAGCCUACGAGAUGAACCCAAACGGCAAGCGCCGCUAUCGGAAAGAGGAACUCCUAAGGGUGCUUGGGUGAGGUGAAGGGAUAGUCUACCGCCAGCGGAAACGCUGGGGAAAGGUGAAGUUCCGACCCGCACGAAAGGCGUAACGACUUCGGCGCUGUCUCGGCGGGGGGCCCGGUGAAACUGUGGUGUCCGUGAAGACGCGGACUACCCGCGGCGGGACGGAAAGACCCCGUGGAGCUUUACUGCAGCCUGGCCUUGGGCUUUGGGGCGGGAUGCAGAGGAUAGGUGGGAGCCUGCGAAGCCUGCCCUCCGGGGCGGGUGGAGGCGUCCGUGGAAUACCACCCUUCUCGCUCUUGGGUCCUAACUUGGUCCCGUGAAGCCGGGCCAAGGACAGGGUCAGGUGGGCAGUUUGGCUGGGGCGGCGGCCUCCUAAAAGGUAACGGAGGCGUCCAAAGGUCCCCUCAGGGCGGAUGGAAAUCGCCCGUGGAGUGCAAAGGCAGAAGGGGGCCUGACUGCGAGGCUCACAAGCCGAGCAGCCGCGAAAGCGGGGCUUAGUGACCCGGCGGUUCGGGAGUGGGACCGCCGCCGAUCAACGGAUAAAAGCUACCCCGGGGAUAACAAAAAGUUGUCCCGCUGCUUGGGUAACCAAGCAGCAAGAACGCGGCUUAUAACGGGGAAGCCCUCUUGAAGAAGGGGUAGCCGCAGGCGAAAAGCCUGCGAUGAGGGUAACCCCGUGGGAAGUCAGGAGGGGCACCAAUGGUCACCAAGCGACAAAGGGAAAUCCUCAUCGGCAUCCUCCUCGGAGAUGGCUACCUGCAGAAAACGGGAAAACGAAAUGCCCGACUGAAAUUGGAGCACCCCGAACAGCAGCGCGAGUAUCUCUUCUGGAAAUACGAACAACUGAGAAACCUGAUGCAAGAUAAGCCCCAGCGGAUUGAGCGAUACAACCCCGUCUGGAAGCGAACCUACACUUACUACCGUUGCCAAACCCACUCCAUGCCCCUGCUUGGGCGCUACAAACGCUACUUCUACGACGAGCAAGGCAGGAAGCGAGUCCCUGAAAACAUCGCCCAACUCCUCAAAUCACCACUAUCCCUUGCGGUCUGGUUCAUGGAUGACGGUCACUACUAUCCCCGUGACGGUGUUGCCUACAUUUACCUUCCACGCUAUUCCGAGGAAGACCUGAAGCGCUUGGUGACUGCCUUGGAGGAAAACUUUGGGUUGCGCCCGAGGGUUGUCUGGAAAAAGGGUUAUCCUUGCCUCUACUUCCCUCGGCAGGAGACCGAGAAGUUGAUGGCGCUCAUCAAACCUUGGGUUUUGCCUUGCAUGAAGCACAAAACCCCUCCUGACCCCGUAACGACUGAGGGCGCGAAGCCCGAGGGUUCUGCCCCUCACGCCGAUGAGGCGUGAAAUCUACGGCAGAGCCAAGACGCCGCGCUCCUCGUUGGCAAUUGCCAACGAGGAUGAAGAGAUAGUCUACCCCUUCGGGAAGACCGAAGGAAGGUGAACAGGCUAAUGGCGCCCGAGCGUCCCCAGCGACGGCGCCGUUUGGCACCUCGAUGUCGGCUCAUCGCAUCCUGGGGCUGAAGCCGGUCCCAAGGGUUGGGCUGUUCGCCCAUUAAAGCGGUACGUGAGCUGGGUUCAGACCGUCGUGAGACAGGUCGGUCCCUAUCCGCCGCGGGCGCAGGAGGCUUGAGGGGGGCUCGCCCUAGUACGAGAGGACCGGGCGGGACCAGCCUCUGGUGUCCCGGCUGUCGCGCCAGCGGCACGCGCCGGGUAGCCAUGCUGGGUCGGGAUAACCGCUGAAAGCAUCUAAGCGGGAAGCCCACCCCAAGAUAAGGCCUCCCACGGGAACAACCCGGUAAGGGCACGGGAAGAACACCCGUUUGAUGGGCUGGAGGUGGAAGCCCAGCAAUGGGUGGAGCUGACCAGUCCCAAUCGCCCGAGGACUUGACUGU